GUUUAAGUUAUUUCCACCCUGUAUUACCUGGAAUUAAUCUUGUGCUAUUUCCUAAGUUUCAGGCUUCUGUCAGUUUUGCUUUGAACUCCAUCCCUGUGUGCAGACAAGAUGUGAAUUUCCAGCCCUUGCAGCUGUCUGGUGACAGUGCACACUCGUCAGACUUCAAACAACAUGGAAAGGUAGCCUGAAGCUUUCAGCCUGGUUUCCACAAACUUGCCAGUGUAGGGCAGGGGUCAGAUUGGCUGGAGAAAUUCCAAGGUCCCUAC